rnacentral:rRNA from 1 species
AGCGAACGCUGGCGGCAGGCUUAACACAUGCAAGUCGAGCGGGCAUCCUUGUGGUGUCAGCGGCAGACGGGUGAGUAACGCGUGGGAACGUGCCCUUCGGUUCGGAAUAACUCAGGGAAACUUGAGCUAAUACCGGAUACGUGCGAGAGCAGAAAGGUUUAUCUGCCGAAGGAUCGGCCCGCGUCUGAUUAGCUAGUUGGUGAGGUUAUGACUCACCAAGGCGACGAUCAGUAGCUGGUCUGAGAGGAUGAUCAGCCACACUGGGACUGAGACACGGCCCAGACUCCUACGGGAGGCAGCAGUGGGGAAUAUUGGACAAUGGGGGCAACCCUGAUCCAGCCAUGCCGCGUGAGUGAUGACGGCCUUAGGGUUGUAAAGCUCUUUUCUCCGGGACGAUAAUGGCGGUACCGGAGGAAUAAGCCCCGGCUAACUUCGUG